rnacentral:rRNA from 1 species
CUCGUAGGUGGUUUGUCGCGUUGUUCGUGAAAACUCACAGCUUAACUGUGGGCGUGCGGGCGAUACGGGCAGACUAGAGUACUGCAGGGGAGACUGGAAUUCCUGGUGCAGCGGUGGAAUGCGCAGAUAUCAGGAGGAACACCGGUGGCGAAGGCGGGUCUCUGGGCAGUAACUGACGCUGAGGAGCGAAAGCGUGGGUAGCGAACA